CGCCUAUCAAGAGCGCCCGAGAGCCCUGGCUCGAUGACGGCGCAGCAACCACCGACCUUCCUCGGGUCGGAACGGUGCUCCUGCCAGGUGCGAUAGGAG
rnacentral:ncRNA from 2 species